UGUGGGUUAGGGUUAGAGAGCUUUAAGACAUAAUAGGCUGCUGGCUGUGUUGUUGCACUUGCUUGAUGUUUGGCUGUGUUAGCAAAGUUGUCGACUCGCUAGUUUUUGAUCAUAAGUCAUUUUAAAAAAUGCAUGUGUACCGCUGUCCAUAUUCAUGACAGCAGUGUAUGAGUGAAUUGUACUCUGAACCUUGGGGCACAAAAUUGCAAUAAUUCUUACGCAAGCUCAAUAAACACAGUAUAACAAUAUUUGACUGGAACUUUCCCCAUCUGUCUGGGACAUUGAAAUCUUCUAGAAGGCAUGGACUGGUAUCACCUUUAUCAGUAGAUUGUUAGAAAGUACCUGGUGAAGAAAGUGGAACAUCUAGCAGCUAAAGAGCCAAACAUUUUGUACAGGAGUAAGUGGAGACCAAACCAGAGUACCAAGCACUUACCAUCAUCAGGAAAAGUCAAGAAUUCUACAUGCAGAAGCCUAAUUCCAGUUUUGGUUCCCGAGACUGUUCCAAUUUUGUGCAGCAUUCAUUCAGAAUAAACACUAGUUGUUGUUAGUAGCAAUGUUAUUUCUUACUGUGCAUUAAGAUGAAGACAUGUCUGUGUGAGAUGGAAAGGAUGUGGUUGUAUCAUUGGGCUUUAUGAAUCUGCUUUGGAAAAAGGAGAAAUGCUGGAUGCAUAUAACAGAUGGAGCAGUCAGAGGCUGAGCGAAACACAAACACAGGCACACUACCACAGUUGGUUCAGUGGCUGCUAGCUUGACUGACAAUGGCAUCUAGCCGUGUAAUUGUAGAUUGCAACUCACUUGUGUCACCCUCCCUUUCCAACUGCGAGGGAGAAACUACAAACUACUGUAGAGACAUGGCGGUUCAACUGAAGCCGUUCUGCAUCUGUAGACAGAAACAGCUCAUUCUAAGGUUUCAGCCCUUUACUCUGAACAGAAACCACCAGAUCUCCACAUGAGAGGGCAGAAAAGAAAGCUCAGCUCAUCAGCUGCAGUGUGAACGGCGCCCACAACUCCUCAAGCUGGUUUGGCUUCACUUCAAGGUUAAACAAAGACAAAAUAUCUGAUGCUUGGACUGACAUGCUGCGGCCCAGAUAUAUUUCACGCUGUCCAGAAACAACACUUGGUCGGUCCACAGUGAGAAAUCCUGACAAAACAGCACUUUAUAUAUCGCGUGAUGAGCAGCGCGAACAGGCUCUGGCAACCCAUUAACUGGAUGUGUUUUCAGCAGAGACCAGUAAAAGCAGCCGCCCCACACUGUUCUCAUUUAACGGCUAGUUUAAACUUGGAUGUCAGUGUGUGUGUGUGUGUGUGUGUGUGUGUGUGUGUGUGUGUGUGUGUGUGCUAGAGGAGUCGAAGUAACAUAUCAACAGUUUUUGAUGGUGUGUCCCUCUCUGGAGACUCAUCUUUAGUCCAGACCCUCAGUUACUUCCCGGAGCUCGGCUUAUGCAACUGGUAGGCGUCCUGAACAUGGAUCAACUUUAAACUUUGAGCACAGCGACUGAGAAGGCUGCGGAUUCUAUCUGUCUGUCCAAACCAGCAGCCAUACGAUCGCUUGUGUGAAAUCUUCUUGACGUACAGUCGGUAUGCCUGUACACAAGCGAGCGCUCGGUCCAGAGAAAGACUGGAUCAACAACAUGCGAGUCAUAACAAGAGAAAUAGAUUAUAUAGUAAACAACUUAUCAUAUUCAUGAAUGACAUUACAGACACCUACAUCACGUACGCAGUAUUGUUUCUGGGUAGGAGGGAGUUUUGAUGACUCAAGUUGUUUACAUUUUACCGUCCCGCACAAAUAAUGUGGUGGGUUUUAAAGGCUGAUUUGAAUACUUCUUACCCUUGAAAUAUUUAAUUUUGACAGUCUUUAGACAAGAAUAAAAUGCAUGAAAUCAAAUUGAAUGGAUUAAAUCUCCAUGUAUAAUGUAAUAAAGGCUUUGGAAC
rnacentral:lncRNA from 15 species